GACGUAGGGGGCCAGCGUUGUUCGGAAUUACUGGGUGUAAAGGGUUCGUAGGCGGUGUGGCAAGUUCGGGAGUGAAAUCUCUGGGCUCAACCCAGAGACUGCUUCCGAAACUGCUGUGCUUGAGUGUGAGAGAGGCUCGGUGGAAUUGCAGGUGUAGCGGUGAAAUGCGUAGAUAUCUGCAGGAACACCCGUGGCGAAAGCGGCGAGCUGGAUCACUACUGACGCUGAGGAACGAAAGCUAGGGGAGCAAACAGG
rnacentral:rRNA from 1 species